GCCAAGGGCAGAAGACAGGCCAGCUGGCCCCACACCCAACCUUCUCCUCCCUGAAAACUCCACUUGCUACUUUUAAUCUAUUUCUCCUCCAUCAGACUGGAGGCAGCUCCAGGCCUUCUCCUGAGGCUACCAUCCCCCCUCUACGGCUUCUAACUUUGCAGGUCACUGGACAAAAGAGAACCACCCCCACUCUUCGCGAGACCUCAUUUGUCGCCCACCACCGCCCCACAUCGCGCAGGCUAGUGGCCUGGACUCUUCCCGCCCCUGGCGAACUGCGGGGAGGCUCUGCCAGAAGCCGCUCCCCUAGGGCCUGAGGGCGCACUCCGUGAGGCCCAGCCCGGGAGGCCCCCGGAUCCGCGCCAGGACGCCCCGCUCCUGCCUCAUCCCCACUACCAGGGGCCUGACGAAAAGCCUGCGAGGUUGGGGAGAGACCCUGGGGAGCGCCGAUCCAGCCACUGGACGCACACUCACCCCGCAUCGCCAAGGAGCCCGCGCGUCUGCUCUGGGGCCACGGGAAACCCACGCGCGCUGUUCAAUCCGGGCUCCGAGUGACGAAAAGCCGCGCUUGGCUCCAGCCGGCCCGGGACCCACGCACCUACCGGCGGACGCGCGGACAGUCUCGCUUCCUAACUAAGUUUGAAAGUUCCCUCCCCGGCGACCGAAGGGGACGCGGACUGCACAGAGGCACCCAGCCCAUCCGGGCUGGGCCAGGCGGGGCAGUGAGACCUGACGCCUCGGGUUCGGGGUUCCAGGCACGCCAGCCUCCAUCGCUGGGAACGCGCCCGGCGCAGCGCAGCGGGGACCUGGCUGGGGUAGGGGGAGGAGAUCCUGGAAACAUGGAGGAGGGAGGGUGUCCUGCACUACAGCCCCAGCCUGGAGGGAGGCCGGCUAACCGUUCCCGGGAGGGGACAGGCCUCGAUUGGCCGCCACCUACUCGGAAUCCGAGGCCCCGCCGGGCAGUGACUACCAAUUAGUAAACUGCCCAAUUAGUGUGCAGCGGCGCUGAGAAGUUAAACCUCGACGCGCGACUAUGGAUGACCGAGGUGUGGCCGUCCCUGGGUGUGACCGCGUGUGACUGUGUGGCCAUCAGGACCAUCUGUGCCUGAGGCUCACCGUCCAGCGGGGUGGCUGUGUGUGACAGUGUGCUCCUGGGUGAGGCGUUGUGGCUGCGAGCGUGUGACUGUCGAGCGACUUCUUUGUGUGACUGUCCCCCGUUGUGCCUGAGUGUGACAGCGGGUGAGGGCAUGUCACCGUGUGUGGGGCAUCGGAGCGUCUGUGGGUGACUCGUCUGUGGCGGGGAAGUGGAAGGAUGUCUGCAAUUGGAAAUGCACCCCCAAAAGAAGACAGCUUGUUGAAUGGAUACAGAAACAUGUAGAUGGAUAGGUCUCCCUCAUUCCAUCCAGCGAAUAGCAACAAAGUGUCAACACUGGGUUGGUGGCAGAUCCAAGUUCCACUAUUCCCUGCUCACCUCUGCUCAUGCCACAUCGGUUACUUCCUCUGCCUUGACCUCAACUAAAGGGAAUGCAGCGUUGUAUGGAGAUCACGUUUACAUGGGACCGCACUCUACCAUCCACCUUGGACAGCAGGAACCUGACGUCUCUUCGCAUGCCCCAGCCCAGCUCUCAGCCUGGCAGGCAGCAUAUCAUCCAGUAGCAAUGUUUGGUAAACACAGAGACAGAGACAAGGAAAAGUGUCCUGUGUCCAGUGACUGGAAUUUCAGAUGAUUUUUUCCCCUAACUUUCUUUAAUGAUGUCUGAUUGCCUUUCAGAUAAGAAAAACCCUCAGCUCACCCAGGGCCUCCCACAAUGCCCUCAGCAAGGCUUUUCGCCCAACUUUUUCAUCAGGAGGGGAGGAGCCAGCAUGCUGAAUUGCAAUUUUCUGUUUGCUGCUUGAC